GGAAAGACUUUAUUACACUACUACUAAUAACAUAAAGGGGAAGAAAAAGGGGGAAAAAAAAACCAAACACAAACUUUAAAAUUAAAACCUUCUAAAACAUUCCUCCUCCCACCACCCAACUCCAACAUACUACAGCGAGACCCAUUUAGAUCUUUAAUCCAGUUUUCACCCUUCAAUAUAAUCAAUACUGAAUCUAUCGGGGAAGAGAGGAGUCCCCCUUGCACCACAGACCCCCAGGAAACACAGCUGCUACCUCUUGUGUUUCCAAUGUCACACGUGGCACUGCCCAGACACACCAGCCAGUGUGACACUCUCCUCUCCAUGUCACAGUGCUCUCACCACCGUGCAUGGACAGAGACUGCUUAUAGGGCCCCUUUAAGGAUGUUCAGCUAAGGACUACCAGGAAUAACAGUCUAGUAUCGCAUUUCGGGACUAGAGUCCUCCCCAUUUUCCCCUGGGGCUGAGGGUCUAAGGAUAGAGAUCUCCUUCUCUUUUUCUCUGAAGAUGGAGGGCAUCUUCACACCCUCCUCAGCUCUCUCUGUCCAUUCCUGAACAGGUAGUUGCUGAAGGAGGUUUCUUGGCUCACCAGUGCAUCCCCUUAAAAUGUAGUCUUUCUUGAAAGAAAGAGUCGUUCAGUCUAUGGUAAACAAGCAGAGUCCAGCCAAAAGCCACUCUAUUAUUUCUUUCUAACUUUCUUCUCUGAACAUCUGAGGUCUCAGGCUGUCUCUCUUUUCUUCAAAUUCAGGAGGAGCAAUAUUUCAUAAAGCCUUCAUUUCACAGGAAAGGGUUAAAAUUCCCGGACUCCCCGGACGGCUGCAAUCUCAGCCCAGGAUUCUGUCUCCAGUCUCCCACGCUGGGCAUCUUCCCCCCACCUUCUCCUUCUCCUCCGCCGGCAAACUCCCAGGUGUCUGCUGGCUCUCUAUCUCUUUUCCCUCUGGCUUAGGGGAGGGGGAACAAAAACAUCCCAGAUGUUCUCCACCCUUCCAUCCGCAGGAGCUGGCCCAGCUCGGUUCCGAUCCUUCACCCCCUGGCCUACCUCUGCAGGCCGCAUGGCUCCCCUCCCCCACCCAGCCCGGGCUGGGCAGGGGAGGUCCGUAUCAUGCGAUGACCGGAACCAAAGAAGGACGAGUCCUCCUGGGAAUUCCGCCUUUAACCCCUCUGUGUUCUCAGAAGCGUGUCCACUUUCAAUUGGUCACCCCAAGUGUCAGUAUCCAAAGCUGACCCUUGACUGGAUUGACCUCUUCCUUCUAAAAAAAUUUCUCUUCCCGUGUCAAACCAUGACACUGCUGCAGGGUGGACAGAGAGACUGUCCUUCCUCUGCAAAGUUAAGAGACUGUGGUGAGGAGUUAUUGCUGGCCAUUUCUCCUCCUAUUUGUCACUUGGAAUAAAACACAACCAGGCAGACAUCUGACUUGGUUGGUGUGGACACCUGUGGGAGGUGCUGAGCAUAUCUCCACAGAUGGUCCACUUGUCCAGGUAAGACAGUAGGGUCCUGUCAUUAUUGCAGUGGGCUGAGAAAGAAGUGUAUCACAUCCUCAUCCCAGAACUAUUUUAUUCUGUGACCUCUGACAACUCACUAACCCUGUGACCCUUCAUCAGCCAUAGCAGUCUGUGCGGCAAGGGUGAAUUGUCUCACUCCAGGUGCCAGUGCCAGGAAAGCUAGGGCUUAUGGUGCUCAGUUGGAGCUCAUGCUCUCCCCUCUAGUUCUCCCAAGCAGCCUGCCAUCCCAUUAACACUCAUGCCACCAGCAGACCAAAAACAAUAGGCAAAAGCAAAAGCAUCCCAGGUCCCACAAGAACUGAUCCUUCUGCAGAGAAAUACUGUCUGUGAAAUAGGGUGUACAAGCUGCCAAAGAGGAGGGAAAGGAAUCACUGUUCUCCUGUUUGGGAACACCUGACUGUCUUGAAGAAAGGCCCAAAGGUGCUGGCAAGUGACAGCGACAUCACAGCAGAGAUGAUACCACCUCACAAAAAACGUGCAGACACCAAGUGACCACAUGGCUUUGCUGUGAACUGCUCAGCUUCUCCAGCAUCCCUCCAGCACCAUGUUGGUCAAGCAGGAACAAAGCAAAGCUUGGCUUUUCCCAGGGAUGUCCUCCACAAGAUAAGAUGUGCACUGACUCGGUCUGGACUGGUUCCCCUUUAGUUCAGGUGAGCUGGAUUCUGCUGAGUGGCUUGUUUCUGCUGUCCAGCUCUGCCUUUUGUUUGAUUCAGGCAGCAAGGAAGCUGAGUCACACCCCCGCAGUCUGUGCCCUGGCCACGCUUGCUCUCUCCUGCCCAGCUGAGUAGGGUGUGCCAGCACCCACACAGACUCUCACUUAGCACCCGCCACCAGUCAUGAUCCUGACUUGGUGCCAGAAGCUUUGCCAGCUGAAAGUCAAAGGUGAAACACCACUCCAUAUAAAACCCCCCAGCCCUCACAGCAGGAGGAAAGCUGCUGGCCUGGGAGGUGAUGAACAGGCUAGGAGGAAGACAGAUGCAAUCAGAAAAUACUUCUGAUUUUAGCACAAAGCUGGCCGUUCACUAAGGACCUACCACUAGAGUAGCUGGGAUGAGAAUGAAAAAUGAGAAAGGCUAAGAAUGGUCUGUUUCACCAGACCAUUCUGUAGGUUUGAAAUCAGCACUGACUGUGUCACAGGAAGAAGGGCAGGAUCAGGCCACUGCCAUGAGAGGCUUUUUUUGCAGCAGUUCCCCACAGACUACUAUUAGCUGUCUGCUCCAAGGGCUGUUCAUCAUGGCUGGAACCAGCCAAAUGCAGAUCAUAAACUAGUUUUUAAAGGAAUGUUUCUCAGAGGAACAUGUGCCCAAGCAGACUACCUCCUGCUGUGCAAAAAGUUAAGCAGAACCACUUUUGAGUAAGGAAAAAUUCCUGGCACAACCAGUAUCUUCCUGAAAAAGGCAGCCCCUGAAAAAGUAGUAUAAGUUACAAGAUUCAUCUUCCUUUCUAGACUUCAUUUGUCAUGACCCAAGCAAGACUUUACUCCAUCAGUUAGCUGGAGCAUGGAAAGAGUACUAUCUGUAAGGUCCCAGAAAGUCCGAGAAGAGCUCAGUGCCUGACCAAACCUUGUGGUGUCCUACACCACCUCUUCCUCCUCUGUAACAUUGUGAGGGAAGCCUGCUUGAGGAAGCCUUCCAACAUGCAGGCAGACAGCUGGUUCUUCACUGAAACUUCCUCUACCUCAACAUCUCUUGCAAAGGAAUGAGCACCAAAAAUCUGGAGAGCCAGCUUCCCUGUCCCAAAUGCCUGUGUGUCAGUCUGGAAUACUGCAGUCCCCUCUCAGAGAAUUAAGCAUGAGCUAGACCCACCUGGAUGACACAUUUCUGUGGGUGAAAGGGCUUGGUGAGAAACAGGCAUCUGCAAGUCAGUAUUAAUAAUGGGCUGGUUCACUCAUGGGGCAUCAGUGCUCUUGAAGGGCAGAGCAACAGGGGGGUCUGUGGGGCAGUGCAGCUUACAAACACCCAGCUAUGGGGACUCAAGGUCAAUGACAGAAGGUGGGUGGCAGUUUUCUCCAUGACUGCAGGAAGUAAAAUGGUCUGACUUGUAGAGAACUGGUGUGACAAGUGGAGCUGGGGUAUUACAACACACACCUGAGAUACUGGUGGUUAGUGAAUAAGAAAUCCUUCUCUCAUGACUGUGCAGAGGGCUUUGUAUCCCUGUGUUUUCAGUAGCAAUGUGGCAGAGCUACACUGGUGUAGGCAGGGUCAGAAUGAAAGCCAUUAAGCACCUCUUUGGACUGGCGUCUAAAGUGCUUUCUGGCACUAAACAGGUAUGCUGCUAUUGGGAAUGUCCUUGGAAAAUUGCAAAUAAAUAUGGAACUGAAUAAAUUGCUUGUCUGUGGGGUUGUUUUAAGGUGUUUUUUAGGUUUCCUGUACAAAAUACUGGAACUGUAAUGUCUGAAGACCAAAUUCAUUUACUAAGACAAGGCAAAGCAGUAUCAGAACAUGAUCCAUUUGUUUAAGAGUGUCCUUAAAGAGAAAGAUCAAGCAAGCAACACCUCCCUCACACUCCACAGCUUCUCCUUAGGUAAGGAAAGAUUUUUAAAGCAGAGUCUGUGAAGUAUCAUGUCUGCAUUCCUGGAACGUCUGUAAUUAAAUACACACAAUUCUCCAAAGCAAAGCACUGCUGGUUUAUUUGCCCUUCACCUACCUGCCAGUCCAAAAAUUACUUGUGGGGGACACUACAUGAUGCCCUAAGAUUUUGUCACUUUUGAAGAACAUUUCAGAACAAACUCAAUUUUAGUAGACCAUGGUCCUUCAGUUCUGUUAGUCAUUCACCACAGUAUUACAAGUAUUUCAACACUUGUAAUCCUGCUUUUAACACUGACCCGACAUCCUUGCUCCAAACACCAGAAAAAAGGGCUGUACAAGUAUCCACAAGAGACAAAUGAAUUCUUCAUUCUGGGACACAAAUGGGACACAAGUCCUCAAGGAGCCUGAUUCAAACACGAAAGCUUGAGUGGUCUUCUGGUCCAGCUGCCUGGACUACUGGCAAUCUCUCUACUUGACUGCUAGGAUAGGUGUUGCAAAUACUGCUCUGCCUGAGCAGGCCAAGACAGACUUACACAGGUGCAUGAGCAGGUAUUUUUCUAGUCAUGUAGGUAACACUGAAUUAAAAGGGUUGACCAGGCAAGGAGUGUCCUGAGCUUGUUUCUGAAGUAGAAGGUUGUGUGGGACAAGCAGAGGAGAAGAAAUUCAGCCAUCACAGUGCACUGUAAAGGUUUUGUCUUUUUCCAAUAAUCACUGAUUACCGGAAAACUCCUACCCUUCUCAAACUCCCUUUGCAGAUUCAACACCCAGCCUAUAGCACAUAUGAGGGCAUGCUCAUUUUCCUUUGGAGAUCCUGAAGGAACGUGGGGGAGUAAGUACCAGUACUAAAGACCACCCAACCCACAGUCACUGGAUUUGUUACGACUGCAGUUAUUCAUCAACUCUAAAAAAAAAAAAAGAAAACCAGCACAACAAAAUACCUAACUUCAGGUCAGGGCUAUGCUCCAAGUGAGUUAGAAUGUGAUUGAUCAAAUGCAAAUCAGAUAACAGCUUGUGAAAGCUUAGAGACACCAUAAUACCCAGUAAAAAUACCCAGCUUUUAGGUCACUUCUAAUUUUUCAUACCCUGUGUGGUGCAGCUAACAGACAGAAGAAAACCUGUUCGUUUUCUCUGCUGAGAACCUCAUAUUGUGAUGUUAGGCAGCCACCUUUCCUUCACAUGUGCAUGAUGCUGAAGAAAUCAGUGCAGGUAUCACAAGGAUACUCCAUAUUUACAUCCAAGCAUAUUAGAGCAGAACUAACUUUCUGCUGGUCCUCCCUUUGUUAGUUUUGUUACUAGGCUGCAACUAACAAUUAGUGCUAAUAAUUAGACAGAAAAAGUAUAUGAAGAUCAGUCCACAAGGUGCCUUUGGAAAUUCUAUACUGUUUCAUGAGGCUUGAAACACCCUUGGGAAUCCAGUCUGUGUGUAUUCAGAGUUGUGACCAUGCAACUCUGUUUUGUAUUAAAUUCCUGCAGGUUUUGGUGGAAUAGGAUAUAUCUAUGGCAACAGCAGGUUGGUUACUAGGUGAGUAUCAGCUCUUGGAUGAAAUAUACAGGUAAAGAAGAGCAGUUUAAACAAAAGCCCAAAUAACUAGUAUGGAGAAGGUGUGUAAUAACAGCUCAACAUGAAAUCCAUUUGAAAGCAAGCAGGAGACUUGGCACUACAAGUGUGUGCUAAUUAUAUGAGGGAGAUUUGUCUGAAGGUACAGUGUGUAAUUUCUCUAUACAGUAUAAGGACAUUGAUCCUUUGGUCUCCAGCCUGUGGCCUCAAGUUAUUACCUAAUGUUUACCUUUAAAACACAGAGAGUGGAUUUAAAACAUAACUGGAUCAUGCUCUUCACCCACUCACACUGCUAGCUGUGAGUUUCUGGGCUCAUAAAAGGGGGUGGCUCUCUGCAAACGGCAAAUGAAGGCUGUAGCAGACCCACAGUGCAUCUGUUUCUGUUCCCCUCAGUCCUGGGCUGGGAGAGCACAGCUCCUUUUUACAGGGUGCCUUAAGUAGCUCACAGUGCAAACACAAGAAGAUGGAGGGUGGGGAAAUCUUUGCAAUGACAGAACUGGAAUCAUGUGGGAGCUGAGUUGUGGCCCUACCACAGAAAUCUUGGGGCUAUUUCCAGCAUUUCAUGCAGUUGCCCACCUGUAGCAGGCUGACAACAGAGUCUCCUGUGUUGUGUCUUUGGAAGGAUCUCCUUUUCUUCAAAAAUAAGAAAAUAAAUGCAGAGAAGGUUGCAAAUAUGAAUAUGGGGCGUUAUUUACUUAAGAUAUCUGACUGUCACUGUCAUAGAAGCAUUUAUUCCUCUGGAAAAAAAACCCCAAACUGAGCCAGUGUUUCCUCCCAAGGUUUCUGGGUUGAGGCAACCAUGGUAUUAUUUUCUUGCCUCCCUUUUUGGCCUGGUAAAUUCCAAAGUUUGAGAGACCUGUUUCAGUGAAUAGAUGUGACCCAGAUAGUGCUUUUACAGUAAAGUCUGGAUCUCAGAAUUCCCCUCUAUCAUAUUCAGUUGUUUAGUAGAAAUAGUAAGCUAUGUAUAAAAAAAUAGCUGAUAACAUCCUUCUGAAGAAAAUAUUAUGAAUAGUACUAAAUAUAUUUCUUGGUGAAAAAAAUCCAUCACACUGAUUUUGUGUUAUUUGUUCACUCAAUACUACAUCUCACACAAACUCACAAUCAAAGUUGUGACAAAGAUCAUGAUUGAAGAUAAUGGUCUUGUACUUAUCCUCCACCCUGCUAAAACUUUAACCAUUGGUGAAAAGGUCUGCUUUCAGAGUUGUUGCCAAUGCCAUGUGGCUCCUAUAAGUGGGAGAAAGUGAGAACAAGUAAUCAAGCUCAAAAUUACUGCUUACAUUUAAGAACUUGAUAGAACCCACUUUUUCUUCCUUGCUUCAGUUUCUAGUGAGGUAACCAUAAAGCUUGAAUUCGAUCAUGCCAUGCCAAAAUAGUGUGUACACUUCUCUGUCUCCUUGGUUGUUAGAUUCUAAUGUGCAGGCUUCCCAGUCCGAUCUUGUGAUCACAAUUUCAUUGCAUAAGCUGUCUUUUAGCACUGAGUAGCAAAUGGCAGACAUAUCAACUGCUGCACACAGACAUGCAUGCACAAGUGAUGUCACCACUGCUAUGCUAAGUGCCUUCUAUGCACCCUUCAGGGCCCAGCUAUCACUUGCAGCCCUGCAGCCUUCGACCCGAGGCUGUCAGUCUCUCCCUUCUCCUUCCUAUGCUGUUGCCUUGACCUCCCACUUGCAAAUCUCAGUAGAUUCUCAUAGAAAGAAAUUGCUCAUAGUCCAGGAAUCUCAUCUUUCUUCCCCUUGUGUUUCCUGUUUUGUAACUUUAGUUUGUAUUAAGGGGAAAAGCAAGAGUUAGCAAAUUAUUAUUAUUUACUUUUAAUGAAAAGUAAAUAAUAAUCAUGUAAAUAACGUGUAAGCAUUACUGGCCAUAAAUAUACACAAAAUGGAGUGACUGACACACACCACCUGUGACUGCUUAAAUGUGAUCCUGUCAGCACUGAUGGCAUCAUAUACAGGAACAACCAAGAGGUAGCUUGGCUACCUCCUAAUGCUAAGGGCAGAGUUGACAGAGGAGAAAGGCUGACAACAAUAAUUAUAGUCACCUUCCUCAUCUUCACUGCUUGCUGACUCUGGAAAGAUCACUCUUCUGGGGGCCACAUUUCUUGGCUGGCUACUUGUCAGGCAGUUCCUUUUCUUUUUAUUAUUUUUCCCAUACAGUAACUUCAAGUUGAAGUGUGGACCCCACUGAUAAAAUUUUGUGCAGGUAAUCCUGUCUCAAGAGGUGUGAUGGUACUGUCCCCAGACAGUUGGCAAAGUCUUGUUCUCAGCCCCUGAUAGAAAUGAUGGGAAACAGAGCUACAAGCCACUGCAGUAAAAGACACUGACUCUAUGUAUUAUUGCUUGAGCUAGUUGUAUUUAGUUAAUUAGAGCUUAACUUUGCUAUAUAUACAAAGCACCAUCUUAUUCUAGGACAGAAUGACGCAUAGAACUAAGAUUAAGCAAGACACCAUUAUACGGACUAUAUGUAUUAGAUUACGUGGACAUUACAUAAGGAUUUACUGGGUUUGAUUUUUGUCAAAUUUUAAACAUUCAGGCUAACACUCUUCCAAACCAAAUCUCUCCCCAAAAUAUUACUCUCACGGAUUAUUUUAGUGGUUCAAAUAUAUAUGACAAGUCCUGGUGCUCUGUCAUCUAGAAGUACGUAACUUCCCUCAUUCCUGCUCUGGAGCACAGACUUUACACCUGGAAUGAGGGAAGGAACUAAGAGGAUGCAAGGCACAGACAGAAAUUUUUAAAUCGCUGCAAACCUGUUUAUCUCGCCCUAUCCCACAUUUGACCCGUGCUUUAAGCAGAAAAAGCUCUUGGUGCACUUUGGCAAGUCUAGCUCCUGGGCAAGUCUGCCGCAGCAGGGCAGGCUCGGCAGCGCCCGGCUGCCGCGGGUGUCCAAGGCAGCCCCGCUGCGCUGUGCUGCCUGCUCCCUCUGCUGUCACCGCCUGCUCCAAACUCCUCCGGAGGACCUGGAACUGCUCAACAGGUGGGAGGGAAGAAGUCUAAACAGAGCCCUUGAGCACAUGAGGGUCACAUUUCCUUCGCAGUAUGACGAGCCAUCGGUCCUGCUUACUAGAGUCAGCAGCCAGCAGAUCGUGUCUCUCUUAUGCACAUCUUGGAGCCGUUCUUUUCAUUUAUUAUCACCCAAAAACAUCGUACCUUUAUCUCCAGUUACUCACAGUAGCAAAACAGUCACAAUAUUUUUUAGUUACUUCAUUUUUAUGGGACUCAAAAUCUGUGAAGUGAGUAAUAGAGUAAAAAGAAACACACUUCUGACCUCAUGUAAAAAUCUUUUGCAGAAGGCAAAUAUCUGCAAUAAUUUCUCUAUUACAGCAUCCAUGUUAGGUCUUGUCAUAACAGUGCACAGCAAACUUUUUCAAUAGUUCAAGGUUGUCAGAGAUGUUUUUAAAUAACAUCUGAUAGGGAUGGUCAAUUCAUAAAAGCUUUGUGAAACCAGUACAGGGCAGAAAAAUACUGUUUGUCUCCCAGUCAGAGGAAAAGUUAGUGCUGACUUCAGCUCUUACAGUACACUGGAAACAUGCUGUGCAUCCCCUAAUCAUGGGAUAAGAACUCAUAUCUCCUUAGACAUCAGGUAAUUUAAAGAUGAGAAAA
ensembl:lncRNA